CUCACCCAGCCUGUCUCUCCAUGGUGUCCUCACCCAGCCUGUCUCUCCAUGGUUCCCUCACUCAGCCUGUCUCUCCAUGGUUCCCUCACCCAGCCUGUCUCUCCAUGGUUCCCUCGCUCAGCCUGUCUCUCCAUGGUUCCCUGGCUGUCUCUCCAUUGUUCCUUGGCUGUCUCUCCAUGGUUCCCUCACUCAGCCUGUCUCUCCAUGGUUCCCUCACCCAGCCUGUCUCUCCAUGGUUCCCUCACCCAGUCUGUCUCUCCAUGGUUCCCUCACUCAGCCUGUCUCUCCAUGGUUCCCUCACCCAGCCUGUCUCUCCAUGGUUCCCUCGCUCAUCCUGUCUCUCCAUGGUUCCCUAGCUCAGCCUGUCUCUCCAUGGUUCCCUGGCUGUCUCUCCAUGGUUCCCUCACUCAGCCUGUCUCUCCAUGGUUCCCUCACUCAGCCUGUCUCUCCAUGGUUCCCUCGCCCAGUCUGUCUC